UACAGAGGUCUCAAGCGUUGUUCGGAUUCAUUGGGCGUAAAGGGUGCGUAGGCGGCGCGGUAAGUCGGGUGUGAAAUUUCGAGGCUUAACUUCGAAACUGCAUUCGAUACUGCCGUGCUUGAGGACUGGAGAGGAGACUGGAAUUUACGGUGUAGCGGUGAAAUGCGUAGAUAUCAGGAGGAACACCGGUGGCGAAGGCGGGUCUCUGGACAGUUCCUGACGCUGAGGCACGAAGGCCAGGGGAGCAAACGGG
rnacentral:rRNA from 1 species